AGAGUUGAAAUAAAAUGGUUACAGCUAAUGUUCUAUGUUAAUGCACCAUUAUGAGGCCUGCUUUAAAAGUGUCACUUGUUAAAUUGUUAAAGGGUUCAUAUUCAACAAAGUAAACAUGCUGUGUGUUUGAAAACUAAAAAUGUCACUAGUCCAAAAUGACCAUCUGAUCAGCAAAAACAGCUAAUACAUACUCAUUUCACAUGCAAAGAGGUUGAUCAGCAAAAAAGGCCCAGGUCAGGGGGGUGAAAAUGUAAUGUAAAACUAAUGUGAGAAGCCUUGGCCUCAGAGAACAGAAUAAAAAAAUAACAAACAUAUGCAUUUAAUUAGGCAGGCAUUACAUAUAACAAGUGCCAGAAAUUGGAUAUGCAUUGCAGGGUUGGGUUUUCAUUGUGGCCAUUUUUGACUAAAGGGGAAUUAAACGGUAAGAUAUUCUAUUAACAUUUAGCAAUUGUGUCUGACUUGUUCUGAGCUUUCAUUUCAAGGCUUACACGUGAACAACAAACAAACAUGUUAAAACAAAUUCAGUCAUGUUUACAGUAAAUCGUAACUUAAAGUAGGUCUAAGCUAAGAGAGCAUAAUGAAGUACCAAAUGUAUGUGUGGGAGGAGCCUAAUUAUUCUGUUCUGACUCCUGUCAAUCAAUAUUUUUGGAGCAUAUAGCUCAGAGCCCGAGUCGAGUCUCAGCAAGCCAAGUUCGUUUACUAUUAACUGAAGGCACACUAUGUAGUUUUUCGUUGCUAGAGGUCUCCUAUUCAAAACAAAGGCAUAGCUUGAUGAUGCCGAGAUUGAGCGCGGAUUCUAAGGAGAUGUCUUCUACACCUCACAGCUGGUGGAAAAGAAUCGGCAUGGGAGUCAGGCAGAAAUUAUGUUCAUGGAUGAGAUUAUUAAUGUUACUGUACUAUGAAGCAGCGCAGGGCCGAGUGAUGUGAGAGUGCAAUGAGGCUAAUGAUUGCUAAUGAGAGACGAGUGCGACACACGGCUCAACAGCAGCGUAACUUUUAUCAUGUCGCAUUUGCUGCUUCUGCUUCUUCUGGUCAAUAUGUGGGGUAAAGCAGCGCUCUUAUCAUGUUAGAUACAUUUGAGUGUGUUGAAAAUGAUUUUAUAACGUUACUCUGUGCGUUCGCUCUGCGGCUGCUAUGAGACUCUUGUUGCACACUGCAGUAAGCUAGAUCGAUAUUAGUCAUGGUAAAACAUGGUAUUCGCGGUAAAUCAAGAAAACGAGAUUCAAACAAUAAGAACGAUUGAUAACAAUGAUUAGUUUUCUGUCUAUAAAUGUAUCCAAACCAUUGUUUCCUUAUCUAAUAAAGCAUAUAAUAUAUUAAAGCAUCUCUGGUCUUUCCAUGGUUUCGAAAAAAUAAAACUGGAAAAUGAGGGUAAUGCAGGUAUGAUGUCAUUGGCUACGUUUACAUGCACUCAAAUAAUCCAUUUGUAAUUGGACUGACGGCACAAUCGGAUUGAAAAACGUUCAUGUAAACACCAUAAUCGAUCCUAUUGAGCUCGAUCCGAAUGAAUCGGAUUGGAAGGAGUGGUUCAUUCCUUUUCUAAUCCGAUCCAACAGCAAAAAAUGACCAUGUAAAAGCUUGAAUCCAACUACUUUCUCAAUCGUAUUCAGGAGUCUCUGGGGCACAGUGCAAUGUUGACAUGCAUUAUGCAGUGCGCAAGUUCACAUUCAACGUUUUAUGAAUGUCUAUGGCAACAGGGCAAAAAUAACGAUGAGCUCUGUUGUGUCACAUCCAUGGUUGUCUCCGCAACUGUGAUUGAUAUGACACUGACCUUCAUCAGGCAUGUCGGAAUGUUUAAAACACAUAAAUGGAUAUUUGAAUCAUAUUACAAUGUUUAGAGUACAUGGAAACAGAUCAGCAAUCGGAUUCAAUUUAUAAGGAAAAUUGUUGCACGUAAACAUAGCCAUUGAUAGGUGAAGCACAGCAACAAGGCUCGUUUGAGAUGAGCAAAAUCUGCACUGUAAAAAAUGAUUUUAUGGUAAAGUAAAUACUACAGAAAAAACAAAUGUAAUUUUUACAUGAAAAAGUUAGUUCUAUAUUAGUACUCAAUUUAAGCUUGUAGAAAUUAAAGCGUAAAUAUCAACAUUAUAAAAUUAAGUAAAACUACUCAACUUUUCUGAUACUGGUGUUCUCAUCAUGCACUGGGCCUUGAAUAAUUAAUGAGGUCGAUUUUUCACUGUUUUCCAGCUGUUUUUACACUGUUUUAUCAUUGCUUUAGUGGUUAUGUUUAGUAACUUGCCAUUUUGUGAUUAUUUGGAGUUCAUUUUCUACUCAAAAUGCCACAUUCACACUCAAACCAUCCAUCGAAUGUUACCGUCAUUGUGUAUUGUGUACCAAGUACUGAGGUCUCUGUGUUCAGGUGCCACAUUACUUCAAUUGUAUUAUUUACUUAGAUGUUUCUAAGUAAAGCAUACACUUUAAAAGGUCCCGUCAAAUCCAGGUAUUUUGUUUUUGUACAUUAAAUGCAUUGUUAAUGUGAGGAUAUUUUAGGUGACUUUUUUUGGCCAAUAUAAUUUGCAAUCCAUGUGCUGUCUGUUUGUCUAUCUAUCUUAAGCCUUGACUGUUGUCAGUUGGCCUUUAAAUUUCUCAUGAUAUACUAACUUGCAGCUUACUACAUCAUCUGACUGUUUGAUAGAGAUUAUAAAUGAAUGCAUUUUGUUGAGAUCAGUACUUUGUUCUUCAAUUCUUUGUAUCUUUGAUUUAAUCAGCAGUGGAGAUGAACAUCGAAGGGGACUCCCACAGUAGCUGAAAUCUUUGCGUACUAAUGCUGCUCGGAUAUGCUGGGUGUGCUCGAUAUUGAGUUUGGAUAAAUAACAGAUGGAAAGACUGAAGUUGAAAGCUGAAGCUACCAUGGAAAGGAGUAAUUUUCUCUUUUAGAGGGGAUGGAGGACCAAGCAGAUGCUAUAUUAAAAAGUGCUACACAAUGAUGGUUGUUCUUGCAUAUCUUCUGCCACCGUUGCCUGGAAGUCAAUGCAUUGUUAAAUCUGAAAUUUCAUUCCUUCAAUUUAAUUCUGUACCACUUGGAGACAGUAUUGCAUGCCUCUGCAGCAAUUUUGAGACCUCAUCAAAGACCAGACCACAGCCGAUCUACAUUUAGAGUUUGAAGAGCACAACAUGACAGUACAUCAUUGCGAGGAUUGACAGAGUAACCAUUCCUGUGGAUGAGGGUCUGACAUGCUGUGGACAAUAUAUUCUAGGUGUGAAACUUGUCCUGUCCACCACAGAUUAGUUCUGUCUUCCCUUUCUAAGACUGGAGCAUCUAAUAUUGAAACGCCACAUUCUCUUCCUUUUAAAACUGACAUUCCUACUUACCGUGUUGCCUCUUUGAGGCCCAAAUAUAUUCUUCAUCAAACACAACCAUAGCAGAUGUAACAAGAAGUAUUGCUUCACAAUUAGUACACAAUUACAAUUUUAAAAUAUUUCCAAGUGAUUGUCAUUGCAAACAAUUUCAAAAUAUGUGCCUGAAUGUUUGUCUGAUCUAAAAUGUUUCUUUAAAUGUAUCCAAAAGUAUCUGUCUGACUUGAGUUUGUUAUGAGAAAUGUCAUCCACUAGUUUUGUUACUUGUAAGUGUAAUUGAUGUUGGCAACUCUUUGAAUGAAUGCUGUUGUUAAUGGCUAGUGCAUUACAAAUGCAUUUGUCUUAUGAAGAUAACUGACAAACAUUCUAUAGAUUUUGAAAACUGACUUAUUGAAAGAUUUAAAAUUGUUUUGUCUGAUUUGGAAAGUUUUAUCUUGUAUCUGACAUUUUAUAAGUUGAUCUUAUGAGAUGUUAUUUGCUAGUCUUGACUGUGUAUGAUUGUUUCAAUCAAACACUUUAAAUGUACUGUAUUGUAGAUAAUAGCAUUACAAAGCAUUUGUCCUCUAAUCAUCUAAAUUAAGUUUAUGAAAUUGAGAUUUAGAGCAUUUUGUUGUGCCUCUGUGAAUGCACUGUUCUCUACUCUGACAAAAUUUGUCUAUAAAUUAAAUUAAUAAAAAUUUUUUUA